UAGCCAGCCAAUUAAUCUACUUACCUAAAUGUGUUUCUGCAGAAAUUUAGAAAUAGCUGCCAAUGCUCAUGCCAUUCCGUGAGCCUAGAGGCCAAUUGGAGUCAUUACAGUCUCCCAAAAUGGCUACAAUA